rnacentral:rRNA from 2 species
GCCUAAUACAUGCAAGUCGAACGAACUCUGGUAUUGAUUGGUGCUUGCAUCAUGAUUUACAUUUGAGUGAGUGGCGAACUGGUGAGUAACACGUGGGAAACCUGCCCAGAAGCGGGGGAUAACACCUGGAAACAGAUGCUAAUACCGCAUAACAACUUGGACCGCAUGGUCCGAGUUUGAAAGAUGGCUUCGGCUAUCACUUUUGGAUGGUCCCGCGGCGUAUUAGCUAGAUGGUGGGGUAACGGCUCACCAUGGCAAUGAUACGUAGCCGACCUGAGAGGGUAAUCGGCCACAUUGGGACUGAGACACGGCCCAAACUCCUACGGGAGGCAGCAGUAGGGAAUCUUCCACAAUGGACGAAAGUCUGAUGGAGCAACGCCGCGUGAGUGAAGAAGGGUUUCGGCUCGUAAAACUCUGUUGUUAAAGAAGAACAUAUCUGAGAGUAACUGUUCAGGUAUUGACGGUAUUUAACCAGAAAGCCACGGCUAACUACGUGCCAGCAGCCGCGGUAAUACGUAGGUGGCAAGCGUUGUCCGGAUUUAUUGGGCGUAAAGCGAGCGCAGGCGGUUUUUUAAGUCUGAUGUGAAAGCCUUCGGCUCAACCGAAGAAGUGCAUCGGAAACUGGGAAACUUGAGUGCAGAAGAGGACAGUGGAACUCCAUGUGUAGCGGUGAAAUGCGUAGAUAUAUGGAAGAACACCAGUGGCGAAGGCGGCUGUCUGGUCUGUAACUGACGCUGAGCUCGAAAGUAUGGGUAGCAAACAGGAUUAGAUACCCUGGUAGUCCAUACCGUAAACGAUGAAUGCUAAGUGUUGGAGGGUUUCCGCCCUUUCAGUGCUGCAGCUAACGCAUUAAGCAUUCCGCCUGGGGAGUACGGCCGCAAGGCUGAAACUCAAAGGAAUUGACGGGGGCCCGCACAAGCGGUGGAGCAUGUGGUUUAAUUCGAAGCUACGCGAAGAACCUUACCAGGUCUUGACAUACUAUGCAAAUCUAAGAGAUUAGACGUUCCCUUCGGGGACAUGGAUACAGGUGGUGCAUGGUUGUCGUCAGCUCGUGUCGUGAGAUGUUGGGUUAAGUCCCGCAACGAGCGCAACCCUUAUUAUCAGUUGCCAGCAUUAAGUUGGGCACUCUGGUGAGACUGCCGGUGACAAACCGGAGGAAGGUGGGGAUGACGUCAAAUCAUCAUGCCCCUUAUGACCUGGGCUACACACGUGCUACAAUGGAUGGUACAACGAGUUGCGAACUCGCGAGAGUAAGCUAAUCUCUUAAAGCCAUUCUCAGUUCGGAUUGUAGGCUGCAACUCGCCUACAUGAAGUCGGAAUCGCUAGUAAUCGCGGAUCAGCAUGCCGCGGUGAAUACGUUCCCGGGCCUUGUACACACCGCCCGUCACACCAUGAGAGUUUGUAACACCCAAAGUCGGUGGGGUAACCUUUUAGGAAC